UUAAGCCAUGCGAGUCGAACGAGUUUAGGCUCGUGGCGUACGGCCCAGUAACACGUGGAUAACCUACCCUUAGGACCGGGAUAACCUUGGGAAACUGAGGAUAGUACUGGAUAGGCAAUUAUUUCUGCAAUGGUUUUUUGUUUAAAUGUUUUUUCGCCUAAGGAUGGGUCUGCGGCCGAUUAGGUAGUUGGUUAGGUAAAGGCUUACCAAGCCGUUGAUCGGUACGGGUUGUGAGAGCAAGAGCCCGGAGAUGGAACCUGAGACAAGGUUCCAGGCCCUACGGGGUGCAGCAGGCGCGAAACCUCCGCAAUGUGAGAAAUCGCGACGGGGGGAUCCCAAGUGCCAUUCUUAACGGGAUGGCUUUUCAUUAGUGUAAAGAGCUUUUGGAAUAAGGGCUGGGCAAGACCGGUGCCAGCCGCCGCGGUAA
rnacentral:rRNA from 1 species